GCCUGGGUGGCUCAGGCGGUUGAGUGUCUGACUUCAGCUCAGGUCAUGAUCUCACAGUCCGGGGGUUCGAGCCCCGCAUCGGGCU
rnacentral:tRNA from 1 species